rnacentral:lncRNA from 1 species
AAAGAGGGUCAAAAGAAAAUGACUCGCACGGAUGUCGCAUCCACUGCAUAUGUAUCUCAUCUGAAUAUGAGAAUCAGAGUAAAACUUAGUUCAGCUAACUAUGGGAACAAUGGUCUCGAUUGCAACUAGGGCAAGAGAAAGGGAAGGUCUCGAUCGCAACGAGGGAGAGAGAAAAGAAUCGCAAUGAGGGUGAAACCAAAUAAGGAUUAGUUAUUAGUUGUCAGUCAAAACUCGGCAAGACAUCGC